GGUACAUAUACACUCGUAAUUAAAGCAAGGAGGGGAAAUUUUCUAGCCAGAGAAAUUACUCUCAUUUCUUGCUUGCAUGCUCUAAAUACCAAAGUGGAUCCACAUCAUGGGAAGAGGCCCCUUCCAUUCGAUGAACCGGAGGAGAAAGAGGAAGAUCACAUCUUCCCAAUCUACUCAGCUCGAUCUCAACAAGACAUGAAUGCAAUGGUUGCAGUCCUAUCUCAAGUUAUUGGAAAUACCCACAAUAAUCCUCUUCAAGUUCAUGAAAAUCCAUUAACAACACAGCAAUCAACCACACAAGGGCAUGAUCAACCGCAGGCAGCCAGUUCAAGAUCAAGGGAACACGAGGAGAAGACACUAUAGAGGAGUGAGGCAGCGACCAUGGGGCAAAUGGGCUGCCGAGAUCCGGGAUCCAAAGAAGGCAGCUCGAGUAUGGCUCCGGACUUUUGAUAACGCCGAAGCUGCAGCACUUGCCUACGACGAAGCUGCUCUUAGGUUUAAAGGAAGUAAAGCUAAACUUAACUUCCCUGAAAGAGUUCAAGGCACAAGCGAAUUAGGUUUUUUGACUAAUCGCCGAGGUUUGCAUGGCACUGAACAAAUGAGUAAUCGAGUUAUUGCUCCUCCUCGUCCUCCACAAACACAACAAGAAGCAUACUCAAGUAGUCUUCAAUACCCACAGUUUAUGUUUCCAGGUGGGAACUAUGGCAAUGCUGUGCCUGCUGAUCCUUAUGGUAAAGAUCAGCCAUUUCUUUCGCGGACGUCAUCAUCUACAUCUUCAUCUUCAUCAUCCGUACCUUCUCAUCAACAAGAUGAACUCGUAAGAUUUUCAAUGCAGUUUGGGAGUCCUUACUCUCAUUCUAAUCAUCCUCCUACAAAUUGGAUGAACUUUGAUUCUAAACACGGAAGAGACUAGUACGUGUAGGCAGAAAAGUUUUACUAUUUGAGGAGAUAGCUAACUAGAGAGAAACUGUUGAACUUUCGGGUUAUGAUCAUGACGUUUUUCCCCUCUUCCACUUGCUUGUUUUUCUCUUUUCCUCUUUUGAUUUCCUUUUUCCCUUUUUGGGGUUAUUUAGUUAAUUUUCUUGCUUGUCGAUCCUCUUUCCCAUCUGGGGUAAUCAACUGGUAUUGUUUGUUGAUUUUAGUUCCUCUGCUUCUUUGGCUUGUGACUGCUCCAAGGCUUACGUUUGAAUGGAAUCCGUCUUUCUUUAAAAGCUAAUGCGAACCCAAAAGCAACCUUUACCUGAAA
rnacentral:misc_RNA from 1 species